rnacentral:rRNA from 1 species
GACGAACGCUGGCGGCGUGCUUAACACAUGCAAGUCGAACGGAAAGGCCCUGCUUUUGUGGGGCGCUCGAGUGGCGAACGGGUGAGUAACACGUGAGUAACCUGCCCUUGACUUUGGGAUAACUUCAGGAAACUGGGGCUAAUACCGGAUAGGAGCUCCUGCUGCACGGUGGGGGUUGGAAAGUUUCGGCGGUUGGGGAUGGAAUCGCGGCUUAUCAGCUUGUUGGUGGGGUAGUGGCUUACCAAGGCUUUGACGGGUAGCCGGCCUGAGAGCGUGACCGGCCACAUUGGGACUGAGAUACGCCCCAGACUCCUAUGGGACGCAGAAGUGGGGAAUCUUGCACAAUGGGCGGAAGCCUGAGGCAGCAACGCCGCGUGCGGGAUGACGGCCUUCGGGUUGUAAACCGCUUUCGCCUGUGACGAAGCGUGAGUGACGGUAAUGGGUAAAGAAGCACCGGCUAACUACGUG